CGGCGUGCUUAACACAUGCAAGUCGAACGGUGAUGCCCAGCUUGCUGGGUGGAUCAGUGGCGAACGGGUGAGUAACACGUGAGCAACCUGCCCUCCACUUCGGGAUAAGCCUUGGAAACGGGGUCUAAUACCGGAUAUGAGCCUGCAUCGCAUGGUGUGGGUUGGAAAGUUUUUCGGUGGGGGAUGGGCUCGCGGCCUAUCAGCUUGUUGGUGGGGUGAUGGCCUACCAAGGCGUCGACGGGUAGCCGGCCUGAGAGGGCGACCGGCCACACUGGGACUGAGACACGGCCCAGACUCCUACGGGAGGCAGCAGUGGGGAAUAUUGCACAAUGGGCGAAAGCCUGAUGCAGCGACGCCGCGUGAGGGAUGACGGCCUUCGGGUUGUAAACCUCUUUCAGCAGGGAAGAAGCGCAAGUGACGGUACCUGCAGAAGAAGCGCCGGCUAACUACGUGCCAGCAGCCGCGGUAAUACGUAGGGCGCAAGCGUUGUCCGGAAUUAUUGGGCGUAAAGAGCUCGUAGGCGGUCUGUCGCGUCUGGUGUGAAAUCCCGAGGCUCAACCUCGGGCUUGCAUCGGGUACGGGCAGACUAGAGUGCGGUAGGGGAGACUGGAAUUCCUGGUGUAGCGGUGGAAUGCGCAGAUAUCAGGAGGAACACCGAUGGCGAAGGCAGGUCUCUGGGCCGCAACUGACGCUGAGGAGCGAAAGCAUGGGGAGCGAACAGGAUUAGAUACCCUGGUAGUCCAUGCCGUAAACGUUGGGCACUAGGUGUGGGGCUCAUUCCACGAGUUCCGUGCCGCAGCUAACGCAUUAAGU
rnacentral:rRNA from 1 species